CCCAUGAACGAGGAAUUCCCAGUAAGCGCGAGUCAUAAGCUCGCGUUGAUUACGUCCCUGCCCUUUGUACACACCGCCCGUCGCUACUACCGAUUGAAUGAUUUAGUGAGGUCUUCGGACUGGUGCGCGGCAAUGCGUCGGCAUUGCCGAUGUUGCCGGGAAGAUGACCAAACUUGAUCAUUUAGAGGAAGUAAAAGUCGUAACAAGGUUUCCGUAGGUGAACCUGCGGAAGGAUCAUUA
rnacentral:ncRNA from 1 species